rnacentral:rRNA from 1 species
UACGUAGGGUGCAAGCGUUAAUCGGAAUUACUGGGCGUAAAGCGUGCGCAGGCGGUGAUGUAAGACAGUUGUGAAAUCCCCGGGCGUCAACCUGGGAACUGCAUCUGUGACUGCAUUGCUGGAGUGCGGCAGAGGGGGAUGGAAUUCCGCGUGUAGCAGUGAAAUGCGUAGAUAUGCGGAGGAACACGAUGGCGAAGGCAAUCCCCUGGGCCUGCACUGACGCUCAUGCACGAAAGCGUGGGGAGCAAACAGG